GGAUUUAAUCGAUUUGAUGGAUUUGUUGAGAUUUGUAAAUCUUAAAUAUCAAGAGAGACGCGAUUUGGACGAAUGAUAAUCCCCUCGGUUUCAGCUGACACUUGCGAUUGUCCCAAAUUGGAAUAACUCAGGUGUGCAAUUUUUGUUAGUGGGAACUGCGUUUGCGCUAUUCCUAC
rnacentral:snRNA from 1 species